UUUCCCAGGAGUAUACCAUGGCAGGGGAUCAAAAUUCCACAGGUAUCUUUGCCCUGUUUGUAGAAAACAACUCACUACAAAAUUGGGACUACAGCGACAUCUAGAAGUUCAUGCCCCAGUCAGAAAUUUAUAUCAAUGUGUACUUUGUUUGGUAUAUGAAGGUGGGUGUAGACCAACCUUAUUCUCAGCAUCUACAAGCAUGUAGCAGAGAGCUAUUCAAUAAACUAUUGAAUGAUUAUGUGGAUAUGACACAACAGACUAAUCGAGGAAAAUUAGGCUGAAGUUACUAUAAGAAUUUUGGAAAAAGUUAUUGCUUUGUUUAGGGAUUUCCAGCUUUUCCUGAGCAGCCAGAAUUCAAAUGUCAGUUAUGUCAUAAAACUUUCCGUUCCUAUAAGUCUGAGAUGAUGCACUUUCACUAUCAACACAAGAGUCACCGGAAUUUUCCAUGUAACGUUUGUGGGAAGACUUUCACCAGAAAGCAUACAAUGGUUAUGCACUUUCGUGCACAGCAUAUUCUAAAAAACAACUUAUACUGAUUACAUUUUUUAAUUUGUUGACUUGGAUGCAUUUUUUACAAGUUCUGAUAUGUACAAGGUCAUAUUUAUAAAAUGCGUUGGUUUGGAGAGAGUGGUUUAGAAAGCCUAGUAUAGUCUUGAAAAUAAGCUAUUUUUCUAAAGUAGUGAAUCAGAUUGUAUUUUAGUUGAGUACAUGUAGUUGCUCUGUUUCUGUAUAUUUAUUACAGAAAUAUCUUUCUUGCUUAUUAAUUAAAUUAUUUUAGUAAGAACUAUAUGAGAUUUGCAUUUUUUACUAGAUUUUGAAGGAGAACUGUCGAUAUACCUUCUGUACAUCGCAGACUGAUGUUAUUAAAUAUUAAUUUGAAAAAUAAUGUAAUAUGUUCUUAGAUUUUAAGUCAUUAUGGUCUUAUUUGUUUCAUGUUAACUAAUGUUCCAAUUUAUAAAUGUAAGAUUUGUUUAUUACUAAUUCUAAAGAAAAUAUGAUGAAUAGGGUGAUGACAUGAUACUUUUGUGAGUUAAUUAAUUGGAAAAUUAAAAAAAUAAGUCAUUUAGUGAAUAAUAUGUCUUAUCUAAGAAGUAAAAGAUUAAGAGGUCAUACACAUGUAUGAAUUAUUUUUUGUUAUUUUUAGCUUAUCGUAAUGAAUUUGAAAACACGAGUUAGUAUUUGGUGAACAGCGAUGUAUAAAUUUGACUUCAAAGGUUAUAAUCAGCCAUCAAUCAAUAUAUGAAACUUUACAAGCAAAAUCACUAAUUGUUCACUUGGAUGUUUGUCGAAUUAAUCCUUAGUUUUAAAACAUAUUUAGUUUUAAGUAGGACUGGACUAUGUAAGUUCAAUAAAUGAACUAGCUACUGUGUACAGGUUUCUGUGUUUUUUCAGUGACAGGUGUAAUGAUAAUUGUUCAGUACAGUUGAUGAACACAAUAGAGUUUAAUUCAAUAGCUGAAGGGAAGGAAUUUCCUUCACAUAUAAUAAGAACUACACACAUUAAGUAAAACAAGUUUUUCAAUAGAUUGCUGGAUGUUUUAUCACAGUCAUUUUUAGCCCACUCUAUAUAAAAUUGAGUUUAGAUUGUCAAUAAACAGUGAAUUAUUUUAACAGUACUCGUAUAUAUUUUUAUUUUUCAAAAAAAAGUUUUUAUUUUAGGGUAGUGGAACUUUGGUUUAGUAGCUUUUGUUGUUUCAUAACUGCUCAUUUACAACUAUUUUGUUAUUCCAAAAACUGAUGCUACACACAAUAGAAAGGCAGUAUUAUUCCUGAAUAUACCCAACUGUCUAAUUACCUUAAAUAUCUUUUGUAACCAUUAUACUGUUUUAAAUCCUUUUUUUUUUUCACAUUGUUACCACAAACUUGCAAAUUUUACUGAGCUUACAUUAAAGUAAAGUUAAAUGCCACAUUCAUGCAAUUACUGUCAGCAUCUGAUUAGGGCACUGUAACAGAAUGCACAUGAUAAAAGUCUUAAAGAUUCAUCACUAUCAAAAUAGUAUUAUGGUAUUUCAAUUUGUCUAAAUAGUUCUGUAGAAAUUCAUGUUGCAAAUAUGGGGAUGCUGUUGAUUUAAAUUAUCUGUAAAGAAGAAAAAUAAGGUAUCUCAAUGUCAGGUGGACUGUCAUCUCUGAUUUCAGUAAGAAGAAAAAUCAUUACCUUUCCUUUCUAAUCUAUAUUGCUAAUUUUACUCCAACUGCAUUCAAGAUUGGAAGAUGUAUUGUGUAGGUUUGUUUGAAAAUUGUUUUUGACAUGUGAUCUAUCUCUUGAAAAAUGAUGUUAAAUUAAUAAUUUACUUUUAAAUACUGUGAUAAUAGAAUGAGUGGACAAUGUUUUUUAAAAAAAUAAUACAAUAUUGGGUUAGAUUUGGAAGCACAUCUGGUGCCGGAAGUUUAACCAAACAAUAAUAUUGCUCACAAAAACCUUCUUUGUUACUGUGAAACUUUAAUAACUGCUUUAAAUGCUUUUAAGUAAUUACAGCAAGUAAUUUGUAAAUAUUUAAAAAAUAUUAUUCAGUUUUUAUGUGUUUACAGUUGUUUAAGGGUUAAAUCAGUUUGAAAAUGAUUUAGGAAAAUAAAGAAAAUAUAUUGGCUUUUAAGUGGUGUACAAUUGCUUUUAUAAAAUACUACAGAAAAGCUUCUUUUUUUAUCAGGGUGCAUUUAGAUGUAUUAUUGAGAGAAAUUAUUUCAUUAAAGGUUUUUUCGAAUUUGAAAUGAGAGAAAUAAAUUCAAAUUCACCAGUUUGAUGUUACGGCUUAAAAGUGUUUGAAGUAGUACCUGUUUUCUUGGUUGGCUUAUACAUGAAACUACACUUUGAAAAGAAAGAAAAUCUUUGUUUUCAUGAUAUUUCAUUAUCCUGUGUUUUAUAUUUACUUUCUUGCUACUAAGUAUUUUAUGAAAAAAACAGAAUAUUAUCUUUACAGGUCACUAUCCCUUUGGGCCACAGUAUGUGUGUGAAGUUUGUCAUAAAACUUUUAAAACCUAUUGCACUAUGAAAUCCCACCAUCAUCAUCAACACAAAAGUCAUCGAAAUUUUCCGUGCUUUGUCUGUGGAAAAAUCUUCACUAGAAAACAUGCCAUGGAAGUUCAUUGUCGUGUAAAGCAUCAGUAGUUGAAACUUCUGCUUUGUAAAAAAGGGGCUUAGUUCAUUAUCUUUUAGCAGUUUUUUAUGGUAUAUUUUUAUAAACGAGCAGCACAAGUUCUUGGGAAAAUGUUUGAAUAUUUUUUCUUUCCUGCCUUGUGUGUCAUUAAAAUGUACUGUAAUAUUUUUGUUUUGAAACAACUAUCAUAUGUAUGUGUGUGUGUGUGUAAUUUUUUCUUGAAUAGAUACUAUGUUUGAAACGUUGUUUACAUCCAUUUAUAAAAAUUGUACCUGUCACCAUAAAACAGCCAAUUUUUCAUGAUUACUCUUAAACUAAUAGGUUAAAGUUCUACUAAUAUAACAUUUUAUAUACACUUCUUUAAAUACCCUUCCUAAAUGUAAAACCAAUGAUUUAAAUUAUCUGAUACACUAAAUACAAUGGUACCUAUAACAUACUAAAAUAUGUUUGAUUUUGUUUGUCAGUAAAUCUGCAAAUUUUCUUUAACCCAAAACAAUCUGUUCGUAAUAAUAAUUAUACUUCAAGGUUUUUCAUUAUAAUAUUAUUGUAGACUAAGUAAGUGAUUCUAAGGUACA